rnacentral:rRNA from 1 species
GUAGUCAUAUGCUUGUCUCAAAGAUUAAGCCAUGCAUGUCUAAGUAUAAGCAAUCAUACUGUGAAACUGCGAAUGGCUCGUUAAAUCAGUUAUCGUUUAUUUGAUAGUACCUUUACCUGGAUAACCGUGGUAAUUCUAGAGCUAAUACAUGCUAAAAAUCCCGACUUCGGAAGGGAUGUAUUUAUUAGAUAAAAAACCAAUGCCCUUCGGGGCUCUUUGGUGAUUCAUAAUAACUUAACGAAUCGCAUGGCCUUGCGCUGGCGAUGGUUCAUUCAAAUUUCUGCCCUAUCAACUUUCGAUGGUAGGAUAGUGGCCUACCAUGGUCUCAACGGGUAACGGGGAAUUAGGGUUCUAUUCCGGAGAGGGAGCCUGAGAAACGGCUACCACAUCCAAGGAAGGCAGCAGGCGCGCAAAUUACCCAAUCCCAAUUCGGGGAGGUGGUGACAAUAAAUACUGAUACAGGGCUCUUUUGGGUCUUGUAAUUGGAAUGAGUACAAUCCAAAUCCCUUAACGAGGAACAAUUGGAGGGCAAGUCUGGUGCCAGCAGCC